rnacentral:rRNA from 1 species
AUUGAACGCUGGCGGCAGGCCUAACACAUGCAAGUCGAGCGGAGCGGCGGACGGGUGAGUAAUGCCUAGGAAUCUGCCUGGCAGUGGGGGAUAACGUAAGGAAACGGGCGCUAAUACCGCAUACUAUCAGAUGAGCCUAGGUCGGAUUAGCUAGUUGGUUGGGUAAAGGCGUACCAAGGCGACGAUCCGAAACUGGUCUGAGAGGAUGAUCAGCCACACUGGAACUGAGACACGGUCCAGACUCCUACGGGAGGCAGCAGUGGGGAAUCUUGGACAAUGGGCGAAAGCCUGAUCCAGCCAUGCCGCGUGUGUGAAGAAGGUCUUCGGAUUGUAAAGCACUGUAAGUUGGGAGGCGGUACCAAAAGAAUAAGCCCCGGCUAACUUCGUGCCAGCAGCCGCGGUAAUAC